CAAAUAACCAAGAAGAAGACUGCCUGACCUAAUUAGUAGCCAUCUUUAUAAACGACCUCAAGUUACCCCUCCCUCUACUCUAUCUCCACCUAUAGGAAAAUAUGCCUAACCUUCCCAACUAUGUCAACAUUGUGGUCACAUGCAUGGUGGUCAGCCCUGUCAACAUUUGAAUAACUUCUGCUAUAAGUGUAGAAGCACUCAACACUUUAUGAAAGACUGUCCCCAACGACCGAAAGACAUGGCUAGACUAAUAGCCCAGGGUCGUGUGCACCACCUUGAUGAACUCGGUGCUCUCACCACU
rnacentral:lncRNA from 1 species